rnacentral:rRNA from 1 species
UACGAAGGGGGCUAGCGUUGCUCGGAAUCGCUGGGCGUAAAGCGCACGUAGGCGGCUUGUUAAGUCAGGGGUGAAAUCCUGGAGCUCAACUCCAGAACUGCCUUUGAUACUGGCGAGCUUGAGUUCGGGAGAGGUGAGUGGAACUGCGAGUGUAGAGGUGAAAUUCGUAGAUAUUCGCAAGAACACCAGUGGCGAAGGCGGCUCACUGGCCCGGUACUGACGCUGAGGUGCGAAAGCGUGGGGAGCAAACAGG